rnacentral:rRNA from 1 species
GAUGAACGCUAGCGAUAGGCUUAACACAUGCAAGUCGAGGGGCAGCAUGGUCUUAGCUUGCUAAGGCUGAUGGCGACCGGCGCACGGGUGCGUAACGCGUAUGCAACUUGCCUCACAGAGGGGGAUAACCCGUCGAAAGACGGACUAAUACCGCGUACACUCUAUGUUGGGCAUCCAAUGUAGAGGAAAUGAAAUUCGCUGUGAGAUAGGCAUGCGUCCCAUUAGCUAGUUGGUGAGGUAACGGCUCACCAAGGCGACGAUGGGUAGGGGAACUGAGAGGUUGAACCCCCACACUGGUACUGAGACACGGACCAGACUCCUACGGGAGGCAGCAGUGAGGAAUAUUGGACAAUGGGCGAGAGCCUGAACCAGCCAAGUCGCGUGAAGGAUGACUGUCUUAUGGAUUGUAAACUUCUUUUAUACGGGAAUAACAAGAGUCACGUGUGGCUCCCUGCAUGUACCGUAUGAAUAAGCAUCGGCUAACUCCGUG